rnacentral:rRNA from 1 species
CGGGUGAGUAACGCGUGGGCAACCUGCCUCAUACAGGGGGAUAGCAUCGGGAAACUGGUGGUAAAACCGCAUAAGCGCACGAAGACGCAUGUAUUCGUGUGAAAAGGAGAAAUCUGGUAUGAGAUGGACCCGCGUCUGAUUAGCUAGUUGGAGUGGUAAAAGCACACCAAGGCGACGAUCAGUAGCCGGCCUGAGAGGGUGGACGGCCACAUUGGGACUGAGACACGGCCCAAACUCCUACGGAAGGCAGCAG